rnacentral:rRNA from 1 species
UACGAAGGGGGCUAGCGUUGCUCGGAAUGACUGGGCGUAAAGGGCGCGUAGGCGGAUGGCACAGUCAGAUGUGAAAUUCCCGGGCUUAACCUGGGGGCUGCAUUUGAUACGUGUUGUCUUGAGUUCGGAAGAGGGUCGUGGAAUUCCCAGUGUAGAGGUGAAAUUCAUAGAUAUUGGGAAGAACACCGGUGGCGAAGGCGGCGACCUGGUCCAUUACUGACGCUGAGGCGCGACAGCGUGGGAGCAAACAGG